rnacentral:lncRNA from 1 species
UAGAAGGUCGAAACGAAAUGACCUAAUAAUCUGAACCCGUUUGGCUUUUCAGAUGAAAGUUUGAAUAUAUAGGUUUAGAGACCCAUAUACGAUGACUACUGAGAUUUUGGUCAUGUGGACUGGCCAGGUCCAACAUAAUUAUUUCUCAGUCACACGGAAUUACUUUUUCGAACUUGGUAACUCUUUGUUUAUUAGGCUGCAAAAGGUACUUCUGGUCUGAGAUCUCUACUUUUUUUUUUUUUUUUCACAUCUAAAAUUUAUCCUUGAGAAUACGCUGAAGCUUCCCAAGCUUGGGGUUUUCUUCCUAAAAUCAACACUUUUUUUUUUUCUUAAAAUCUUCUUUACACGAAACAAGACCAUUCAAACACAUUCGACCUUAUUCAAUAUUCAUCCUUUGAACGAUCUUAAUAUCGUACUUCUGGUAUCUAGCGUUCAUU